ACACGACUACAUUAGAUACCCGCGUAGUCCCAGCCCUAAACGAUGCGCGUUAGGUGUAUCGGUGACCACGAGUCACCGAGGUGCCGAAGGGAAACCGUGAAACGUGCCGCCUGGGAAGUACGGUCGCAAGGCUGAAACUUAAGGAAUUGCGGGGGAGCACCACAACGGGUGGAGCCUGCGGUUUAAUUGGACUCAACGCCGGGAAGCUCACCGGAUAAGACAGCGGAAUGAUUGCCGGGCUGAAGACCCUGCAUGACCAGCUG
rnacentral:rRNA from 1 species